UGUCCAGCCCAUAAGAUUUCAUUGCAAAAUACAGGCAAUCCUGUACCGUGUUGCUGUCACAGAUCGUCCGGCAGAGCUUGGGCUGGCCAACAGACACCUGGCGCUCCUGAAGGCACAACUACUUCUGGRCCACGCAACACCGUGAAGUGAGAGAAAAUAGAAAGAUAGCAAGAGCUGGACUGACAGCAUAAAAGGCUGUCGUUGUAGGGAUGACAUUUAUGAACAGACCCUGAACAAGUUGCAUGGUGACAGGUGUGUGCAAACAAGCACGCUGUGCACUGAGAAGGUAAGCAAGGAGCAGGCCAAGCACCAGAAGGUGAGUAUUUGAAGCCAUGACAAAUUUAACUUCAUCGCACAGAAGUAUAUUUGCUACUGCUGGAGCAGAGCUAUAUAACUUUCAGGGAAUAUAACCCGUGUUCAUAGCUUUUUCUGAAUUAAAAUAGCUUACCUUCCAGUGGCUUAACCGCAUCGUAUGUCAAGCCUAAAUAAUUUUAAUACC
rnacentral:lncRNA from 1 species